rnacentral:rRNA from 1 species
UACAGAGGUCCCGAGCGUUGUUCGGAUUCACUGGGCGUAAAGGGUGCGCAGGUGGGUUGGCAAGUUUGAUGUGAAAGCCCGGGCUUAACCCGGGAAUGGCAUUGAAUACUGCUGAUCUGGAGGAUCGGAGGGGGGACUGGAAUUCUUGGUGUAGCAGUGAAAUGCGUAGAUAUCAAGAGGAACACCAGUGGCGAAGGCGAGUCCCUGGACGAUACCUGACACUGAGGCACGAAAGCCAAGGAGCAAACAGG